GAUGAACGCUGGCGGCGUGCCUAAUACAUGCAAGUCGAGCGAACAGACGAGGAGCUUGCUCCUCUGACGUUAGCGGCGGACGGGUGAGUAACACGUGGAUAACCUACCUAUAAGACUGGGAUAACUUCGGGAAACCGGAGCUAAUACCGGAUAAUAUAUUGAACCGCAUGGUUCAAUAGUGAAAGACGGUUUUGCUGUCACCUAUAGAUGGAUCCGCGCCGCAUUAGCUAGUUGGUAAGGUAACGGCUUACCAAGGCAACGAUGCGUAGCCGACCUGAGAGGGUGGUCGGCCACACUGGAACUGAGACACGGUCCAGACUCCUACGGGAGGCAGCAGUAGGGAAUCUUCCGCAAAGGGCGAAAGCCUGACGGAGCAACGCCGCGUGAGUGAUGAAGGUCUUCGGAUCGUAAAACUCUGUUAUUAGGGAAGAACAAAUGUGUAAGUAACUAUGCACGUCUUGACGGUACCUAAUCAGAAAGCCACGGCUAACUACGUG
rnacentral:rRNA from 1 species